rnacentral:ncRNA from 1 species
GUUCUGUAACUUUAGGAGAAGGACUGGUUCUGAAGGUUGAUCCAGUCAGGUUGACAGUAAAAGUAUUUAUGACAUUGUGUUCUCGCCGGAUACAUCUCGCGUCUGUCCGGAUGAUUAUCGAAGUUGUGUUUAUGGACAUUGUUAGCUGCUUCGGUUUAUUCUGAUAUGACUGGAAAUUUUCAACUACUUCAGAAUUGGCAC